rnacentral:misc_RNA from 1 species
UGGACGGCGACGACGAUGGCAAAGGGGAGAGUGACGCUUGGGAGAGAGAAGACCGAUAGAGAGACAGCGCCAAAUGAUAGUGAAAACAAAGGACCAAAAAAAUUAGGGAUUUAGAGGGUGGGAAUUUGGGAGCGAGAGCGACGCUUUGUUACAUCCCUCUCCUUUAUUUUGUUUGGCAAGACACAGAGAGUCGAGAAGAGUGGGUUGGUGUUUGGGAAUUGGGGGUGGAGAACG